UGUAAACCUGAUACUAUUAAAUUUUGUAGGAUUUGAUGUGACAUUAGAAUGGACUAGUUGAAAAAGUAUAGAGCUAUAAUCAAUUGUGAAAGUAAAAUUGUAACUUUACCAUCUCCAAAAAAGGAAUAAAAUUUUUGCCAUUAGUUUCCUAACCAAUGAAUGAACAGGAAUAUGGGUGUUGAUCCUACUGUGUGUACCAUACCAAUUGUUUG
rnacentral:lncRNA from 1 species